UCGAGGGGCGGCCGCUAUAAUGCAGUCGAGCGAGAAGACGUAGCAAUACGUUUGUAAAGCGGCGAACGGGUGAGGAAUGCAUGGGUAACCUACCCUCGAGUGGGGAAUAACUAGCCGAAAGGUUAGCUAAUACCGCAUACGAUUCCCGGACUUCGGUUCGGGAGGGAAAGCGAUACCGUGGGUAUCGCGCUCUUGGAUGGGCUCAUGUCCUAUCAGCUUGUUGGUGAGGUAAUGGCUCACCAAGGCUUCGACGGGUAGCUGGUCUGAGAGGACGAUCAGCCACACUGGCACUGCGACACGGGCCAGACUCCUACGGGAGGCAGCAGUAAGGAAUAUUGCGCAAUGGACGAAAGUCUGACGCAGCGACGCCGCGUGGGGGAUGAAGGUCUUCGGAUUGUAAACCCCUUUCGGCAGGGAAGAUGGAACGGGUAACCGUUCGGACGGUACCUGCAGAAGCAGCCACGGCUAACUUCGUGCCAGCAGCCGCGGUAAUACGAAGGUGGCAAGCGUUGUUCGGAUUCACUGGGCGUACAGGGAGCGUAGGCGGUUGAGUAAGCCCUCCGUGAAAUCUCCGGGCCUAACCCGGAAAGUGCAGAGGGGACUGCUCGGCUAGAGGAUGGGAGAGGAGCGCGGAAUUCCCGGUGUAGCGGUGAAAUGCGUAGAGAUCGGGAGGAAGGCCGGUGGCGAAGGCGGCGCUCUGGAACAUUUCUGACGCUGAGGCUCGAAAGCGUGGGGAGCAAACAGGAUUAGAUACCCUGGUAGUCCACGCCUUAAACUAUGGAUACUAAGUGUCGGCGGUUUACCGCCGGUGCCGCAGCUAACGCAUUAAGUAUCCCGCCUGGGAAGUACGGCCGCAAGGUUGAAACUCAAAGGAAUUGACGG
rnacentral:rRNA from 1 species